rnacentral:rRNA from 1 species
GACGAACGCUGGCGGCGUGCCUAAUGCAUGCAAGUCGCACGCGGCACCUUCGGGUGCUGCGUGGCGAACGGCUGAGGAACACGUGGGGACCUGUCCGGGAGUGGGGGACAACACCGCGAAAGCGGUGCUAAUCCCGCAUACGCUCUGAGGAGGAAAGCCGAAAGGCGCUCCCGGGUGGCCCUGCGGCCCAUCAGGUUGUUGGUGGGGUAACGGCCUACCAAGCCAAUGACGGGUCGCUGGUCUGUGAGGACGACCAGCCAGACUGGGACUGGGACACGGCCCAGACUCCUACGGGAGGCAGCAGCAAGGAAUUUUCGGCAAUGGGCGCAAGCCUGACCGAGCAACGCCGCGUGCAGGAAGACGGCCUUCGGGUUGUAAACUGCUUUUGCUAGGGAUGAUAACAGGCAGUACCUGGCGAAUCAGCCCCGGCUAACUCUGUG